GUCUGCCACCAUGUGAGGCAUGACUUUCUUUCACCUUCUGCCAUGAUUGUGAGACCUGCCCCAGCCACAUGGAACUAAGAACAGUAAAACAGACUUGUUAUUGGCAGCCCAUUAGUGCUCAGGAGAGGCGGUCUCCAGCAUGACAUCAGCCGGCGGCUCGACCCAAAUCUAGUAUUUCACCAGAGAGCCUAACGCUGCUGGCUUUCCAACUGUGUGGAAGACGAUACAGGCGUAACAAAGACAAGGAUGAAAUAAGUCCUGUGAUGGAGAGACAAGCAAAAUUCUACCUGACUUCACAGGAGGAAGAAGUGUGCUGUGCCAGGGGGAACAGGAGAAAGCUUCAUGGAAGAGGUCACAGGAAAUGGGUAGCUAUCCAGCUAAAUAGAUUUCAUGCUUGACUUCAGUGGAAUAGCUCAAAUGAUGAUCUGUUUGGGAGAGUAAAUUAAAGAGUUUCCAUCCGAGGUUGGUUGAAUCCACAGAUACGGAACCCACAGAUAUAGAGGGCCAACCAUACUGAGUCCUGACUUCACCCAUUCCUUCUACCCCCAUCUCUCCUAAUCCUUAAACUUCCUUGCAAUUCCUGGAGCAGAAUACUCGUGUAGGAGUCAGGGGUUGUCUUCCCUUCCUAGAAGCAAUGCUUCUAUGUUCUCAUUUGAUGUUGAAUAAAACAUUAAACAGAAAAGCUUUGAUAACAUCAC
rnacentral:lncRNA from 1 species